GAUGAAGAACGCAGCGAAAUGCGAUAAGUAAUGUGAAUUGCAGAAUUCAGUGAAUCAUCGAAUCUUUGAACGCACCUUGCGCUCCUUGGCAUUCCGAGGAGCAUGCCUGUUUGAGUGUCAUUAAAUUCUCAAGACCUGUCUGCUUUUUUGAUAGGUAUUGGAUUUUGGGGGUUGCAGGCUGUUUCAAAUAAAUAGCCUUGCUCUCCUUGAAUGUAUUAGUGGAGAAAAGCCAUUGAACUCCAUUGGUGUGAUAAAACCUAUCAAUGCCAGGAGCAAUAUCACUACUUCUCUCUGCUGUCUACCUGUGACUGUCUGUAUUAAUUAGUAUGGAUGGGGACAACUUGACCAACUUGACCUCAAAUCAGGUAGGACUACCCGCUGAACUUAAGCAUAUCAAUAAGCGGAGGA
rnacentral:misc_RNA from 1 species